CUCGAUGAUGGCCAAUAGCGGUCCCCUCGUACAAACGGAAGCUCGAGAGGUCAGAUAGAACCUGGAAGAAAUUAUAAUUACAAUUAGAUCAAAUUCAGUCAGGACGAAACACCAAGUUGUCACGAGCUAGAGACCGAGGUGGGACAGGUUGAAAGGGAGUUUUUAGAGAGGAUUCCGGUAAUUAUGGUGAGGUAAAGGGUGAUUCAAUGUGAAAAGAAACAAGUUAAAAAUGUAGGGAAUGAGCGUGCGAGAGUAUGCACGACCCGGGAGAUUAGCAUAAGUAGAAAUACCGAGUAAUGGACAGACGCGGCAGGCAGAUCGUAUUCAGUCACAAGCGUAUACGGUAAAUUCUCAAAUUCAAUCAUCUUGAUAUAGGAAUAUUGUAUUGAAAAAUUUCAAUUUACAUUUUUUAUUUAUUUUUUCACUUACUUACGUAAGUACAUCGAGCGUAUAAAUAUAAUGCAAAACAGUGUGAAUAGUCCGCAGAUUAAAGAGCAGCCGUGAUUUGUAAUCAUUAGGAGGAAUGUUUUGGAG